GAUGAACGCUGGCGGCGUGCCUAAUACAUGCAAGUCGAGCGAACAGACGAGGAGCUUGCUCCUCUGACGUUAGCGGCGGACGGGUGAGUAACACGUGGAUAACCUACCUAUAAGACUGGGAUAACUUCGGGAAACCGGAGCUGAUACCGGAUAACAUGUUGAACCGCAUGGUUCAACAGUGAAAGACGGUUUUGCUGUCACUUAUAGAUGGAUCCGCGUCGCAUUAGCUAGUUGGUAAGGUAACGGCUUACCAAGGCAACGAUGCGUAGCCGACCUGAGAGGGUGAUCGGCCACACUGGAACUGAGACACGGUCCAGACUCCUACGGGAGGCAGCAGUAGGGAAUCUUCCGCAAUGGGCGAAAGCCUGACGGAGCAACGCCGCGUGAGUGAAGAAGGUCUUCGGAUCGUAAAACUCUGUUAUUAGGGAAGAACAAAUGUGUAAGUAACUAUGCACGUCUUGACGGUACCUAAUCAGAAAGCCACGGCUAACUACGUG
rnacentral:rRNA from 1 species